UUUGAAGUGUCAUCCGGGAAGAGUUUGGGGGAUAUUUAUAUUGGCUAAAAGUUGUACAUACGAUACAAUGUAACCAACGUUCUACAACUACAAGAUAGCAACUCUGAACAGAAACUGCAUCAAUACUGAGAUUUGAAAGCACGUCUGACUAAACAAAACUGAAGUAUACUGCUUCCUUCAGAGGCCAUUACAGAAUAUUGCGAAAGGGUGGGAUUUCUUAAAGAAAAUCGCUUCCAAACAUUCUCUCCAAUAAGAUGAUUUAUCCUGUGUCAUCUUCAGGGAUCCCAUACUCUUGUAGAGUAGCCACAUCUGCUGUAUAGACGGUCUGAAGGAAUUAUGGAGACAAAAAGGCAUCUCGGGAAUGUCCCGUUUGCUGUAGAAGAUCCUCAAAGGCGGAACUCACAACUCCAUUGAAGCCCUGUACCAUCAUUCUAAGCUGCUGUGAAAGUUGAAGGUCUUUAAAGAAAUAAAACUAACCUGUGAUGAAACAUAAAUUAAGCUACAGGCCCAGGACAGAGAGGCAGAUUGAGAAGGAGUUUGAGAAGCUUCACCAGUUACUUUGAGAGGACAAAGGCAGCCAGACUAGCUACUCUGAAGAAGGAAGAGAAGAACAGUGAGAUGAUUGAGGAGAUGAGCGGAGGGAUAUCAUCACUUUCAGACACAGAGCCGUAGAGAAGGAGCUGAAAGCAGAAGACGUCUCAUUCCUGCAUAACUAUAAGGCCACAGUGAAAAGGUAAGUGAUCUGCCUCUUGUCUCUCUUCUCUGUGGUUCUUAACAAAGUUAUGCCAACCCCACAGUACAACUGAUGGUGCACACUGCCGAAUCCAGAGAAGGUUUCAGAACCACUGAUCCAUGUGGCCAAGCAUCUUGGCAACCUGCAUAGAUCAUGUGUGAAGAUACAGGAAAUUGUUACAGAGGUUUUUCAAUAUACUUCUGUGACUCUGAACCCCAAGACUGCUCACCCAAGUCUCAUUCUGUCUGAGGAUUUGACCAGUGUGAGAUUCGGUGUGGCUCAAAAGCUUCCUGACAUCACAGAGAGGUUUGAUCAUGCAUUUGUUCUGGAUUUUGAGGGCUUUAACUCAGGGACACACUUCUGGGAUGUUGAGGUUGGGGAAAACGCAUGGGCUCUGAGUGUGAUCACAGAAUCUGUACAGCGUAUACGCAGUGGAUUAUAAUUCUGAAGGUGAAUAGUCAGCAGAAUCCCCACCAAAGCCAACCAUUCCCCUCACAGUGAGACAGACACCCCAGAGGAUCAGAGUGAAACUGGACUGGGACAGAGGAGAGCUGUCAUUCUCUGAUCCUAUGAAUAAAACACAACUCCACACAAUCACACAAACUUUUAAUGAGACAGUCUUUCCUUGCUUUUGUAACUUCUCUAAACGGAAGCCUCUAAAGAUCGUGCCAUGACAAUGGAAAAAUAGUUAGAGCUGAUAGUUUCUUACUAUACAAUGUUGAAUCAACCACCGAGCUACUGCUUGAAAACAAGUUAAGAUAUUAUAGUGACUUGAUCGAACGUAACAUUCAAAAACACCUAGUACUCUGCCCUAUACCUUAAAGACAUAGUCACUUUAAUUAUGCUUACCUAGUGUUUUACCCACUUCAUAUGUAUAUACUGUAUUCUAGUUAAGGCUCAUCCUAUAUAACUACUGCUGUACACACCUUUUCUAUUCAUAUACUGACUAUACAUGCCAUUAUUUUUUAAAUAUAUGUAUUCCGGACUCUGA